UACGGGGGGAGCAAGCGUUGUUCGGAUUUACUGGGCGUAAAGGGCGCGUAGGCGGCUCGGCAAAUCGGUCGUGGAAUCUCGACGCUUACCGUCGAAACGGCGGCCGAAAAUACCGGGCUCGAGGGCGUGAGGGGUCACUGGAACUCCUGGUGAAGCGGUGAAAUGCGUAGAUAUCAGGAGGAACGCCGGAGGCGAAAGCGAGUGACUGGCGCGUUCCUGACGCUGAGGUGCGAAAGCUAGGGGAGCAAACAGG
rnacentral:rRNA from 1 species